GAUGAAGAACGCAGCGAAAUGCGAUAAGUAGUGUGAAUUGCAGAAUUCAGUGAAUCAUCGAAUCUUUGAACGCACAUUGCGCCCCUUGGUAUUCCAUGGGGCAUGCCUGUUCGAGCGUCAUUUGUACCUUCAAGCUCUGCUUGGUGUUGGGUGUUUGUCUCGCCUCUGCGUGUAGACUCGCCUCAAAACAAUUGGCAGCCGGCGUAUUGAUUUCGGAGCGCAGUACAUCUCGCGCUUUGCACUCAUAACGACGACGUCCAAAAGUACAUUUUUACACUCUUGACCUCGGAUCUGGUAGGGAUACCCGCUGAACUUAAGCAUAUCAAUAAGCGGAGGA
rnacentral:misc_RNA from 1 species